ACGAACGCUGGCGGCGAGCUUAACACAUGCAAGUCGAACGGAAAGGCCCUGCUUUUGUGGGGUGCUCGAGUGGCGAACGGGUGAGUAACACGUGAGUAACCUGCCCUUGACUUUGGGAUAACUUCAGGAAACUGGGGCUAAUACCGGAUAGGAGCUCCUGCUGCAUGGUGGGGGUUGGAAAGUUUCGGCGGUUGGGGAUGGACUCGCGGCUUAUCAGCUUGUUGGUGGGGUAGUGGCUUACCAAGGCUUUGACGGGUAGCCGGCCUGAGAGGGUGACCGGCCACAUUGGGACUGAGAUACGGCCCAGACUCCUACGGGAGGCAGCAGUGGGGAAUAUUGCACAAUGGGCGGAAGCCUGAUGCAGCAACGCCGCGUGCGGGAUGACGGCCUUCGGGUUGUAAACCGCUUUCGCCUGUGACGAAGCGUGAGUGACGGUAAUGGGUAAAGAAGCACCGGCUAACUACGUG
rnacentral:rRNA from 1 species